rnacentral:rRNA from 1 species
UAGUUAUGUUCUUUAAACCUAAAGAAUUUGGCGGUAAUUUAUUCUAUUCAGAGGAAUUUGUCCCGUUAUCGAUAGUCCUCGUUUUAUCUUACUUAUAUUUUGUUUAUAUCAGUAUGUAUACCGCCGUUAUAAGUUUAUUCUAAUAGGAUUUUUAAUUUACUUAAUUUUUAAUUUUACAAUAUUUCAGGUCAAGGUGCAGCUUAUAAAUAAGUGGAGGUGAAUUACAAUAUUUAUGAAUAAAAUGGAUUAUUAUUUUAAAAUAUUUAUGAAGGUGGAUUUGUUAGUAAUAUUUUUUAUAGAGAGAAUAUGAUUAUAGUUCUAAAUUAAGCACACAUCGCCCGG